rnacentral:tRNA from 1 species
GCAUCCCUAGUCUAAUGGAUAGAACGCUUGGCUCCGGACUGAGAAAUAGGGGUUCGAUUCCCCUGGGAUGCA